AUUGAACGCUGGCGGCAGGCUUAACACAUGCAAGUCGAACGAGUGGCGGACGGGUGAGUAAUGCGUGGGACUCUAGCUUAUGGAGGGGUAUCACUACGGGAAACUGUAGCUAAUACCGCGUACCAUAGGGUGCGCCCAAGUGGGAUUAGGUAGUUGGUGAGGUAAAGGCUCACCAAGCCGAUUAUCUCUAGCUGGUCUGAGAGGAUGACCAGCCACACUGGGACGGAGACACGGCGCAGACUCCUACGGGAGGCAGCAGUGGGGAAUAUUGCGCAAUGGGGGCAACCCUGACGCAGCCAUGCCGCGUGAAUGAAGAAGGCCUUAGGGUUGUAAAGUACGUUCAGCGGGGAGGCGUUACCCGCAGAAGAAGCACCGGCUAACGCCGUGCCAGCAGCCGCGGUAAUUC
rnacentral:rRNA from 1 species